UACGUAGGGGGCAAGCGUUGUCCGGAAUUAUUGGGCGUAAAGAGCGCGUAGGCGGUCCGAUAAGUCGGCUGUGAAAGUCAGGGGCUCAACCUUUGAAAGCCGGUGGAUACUGUGGGGCUAGAGUACGGAAGAGGCGAGUGGAAUUCCUGGUGUAGCGGUGGAAUGCGCAGAUAUCAGGAGGAACACCAAUAGCGAAGGCAGCUCGCUGGGACGUUACUGACACUGAGGCGCGAAAGCGUGGGGAGCGAACAGG
rnacentral:rRNA from 1 species